rnacentral:tRNA from 2 species
GGGUCGUUAGCUCAGUUGGUAGAGCAGCGGACUCUUAAUCCGUAGGUCGAAGGUUCGAAUCCUUCACGACCCACCA